rnacentral:lncRNA from 1 species
UUAUUUUCUAUAAAAAUCAGCCUAUAAACCCCUCAUUUCUCUCCAAAUAUUCGGUCACACCAAGAACAAAGGGAAAAAGGAAGAGAACAAACCCUAGGUGGGGAAUUUGAAGAGAAAAAGUGUGGAAAAUCAAGGAAAAUAAGUGAAAAAGGUAAGAUUUUUCAAUUUAAACUUGAAAUCUAUUUUUCUUAAGCAUUUCUCCUUAUUUUUUAUAAUUAAAUUACAUGUUUUCAUGAUGAAUUCAUGGCUGAUCAAAAUGGGUAUGAAGAGAGAAAGAUGUUGGAUUGAUUUGAUUUUAAGUUAUGUUAGUGUUUUUAGUUAGUUUAGCAUAUUUAGAAGCAAAACAACAAGAAAGAAUCCAUUUUCCCCAUGAAUCUUCAUUGGCUGAAUCUUCCUUGAUAUGUGUGGGAGAUGGAUUGUUAUUAUUUCAAGAGAAAUGGCUUAGAAAAUGAUGAAUAAUGGUGAGAAAAUUAAGUAGGAAAAAUCACGGUGUUAGUGCACUGUAAUAGCCGAAUUUUUUCAUGAAGAAAUGGGAAGGUUUUGAUCUAAAAUUGGUGUUAUUUGAAUAAUGUUUGGUGAAUUGAGGCAUUGGAAAAGAAAUGGAGUAAUUUGAGAUUAAAUUGGACGCGUUAGUAAUUAAUCGGGUGAUAAGACGAAUUUGGCCGGUAUCGAAAUUUAGAUGGUUACUUGUGCAUUUUGCAUUCCUAUCAUGCAUUAGUAGUCUAAAUUAGUUUAAUUUUGAUUUAGUACCAAUGUAGUGAGUUUCUCGAUUUUGUACUGUGUCAAGGUGGUGAGUACUCCGAUAAAGGCAAGGGAAUUGCAUUCGAGGACCAGUAGUCCGAGUACUUCGAAAAUCCGCACUCUAGACAUUAUGAGUAAACUUACUGUCAUUUUAGUUAUCUAGGGUAGUUUUUAGAUGAUUUUAUGAAUUCUAUGGAAAAAAGGGAUUUAAAAUGGUAAAUUUUCAUGUUUUAUGAAUAAAUGUGUUUCAAUGAAAUUAAUUUAUAAAUUGUUUUGAAAUUAAUAAUGAUGUUGAAAAAUAGAGUACACGGAGACUGUUAAUUGUUGCAAUUCGAUUGUUUAAAUUGAUUGGCUUAUGAUAAAUCGGGUAUGAUUGGCUAGUUGGCAAUUGUAUUGAAAUACGAAUUGUUUGGUUGCCUUGAAAGACUGCGAAUUACAAAAAUUGUCAUAUCAUGUUAUUGAAUUUUAUUGUAUGGUGGAUUAUAUAUUAAUUAAUUACUACAGUAGAAGGUUUCUGUGGACUAGCCUUUUAGAGGGGCACGGUAAACCCCAUUAUAUUCUUACCUCGAUCGGAGAGGUGCGUAGGGUAUUUCCUGGGGUUAAGUUUAGGGUUCACUUCACGCUAAACCACCACUUGAGGGUGAACUCAGCCAACGCCAAGGAACGGCUGUAAUGUUCAACGAAAAGUGUGUUUUAUGUGAAAUGUGAAUUUUUAACAGCCUUGGCGAUCUCGGUAGGAUGCCUCGGCCAAGGUGUCCCCAAGAAUGGAUUUUUGGCAUAAGCCUAGUUUUUAUGAGAUUCAUAAGCCUCUUUACGUAUUUUGAAUGAAAUGUGUUCUAAUGUUGUGACCCAGUUUAUGAUGAUUUAUUUUAUUGUCUCCAUGUACUCAACUCUAGAUGUUUAUGAUAAUGUCUAUUUACUCAUUGGGAUUUUAUAAUCUCACCACCCUCCUUUCCAUCCAUUUCAGGCUCAGAAUAGACUAUAGAUAGCUGAUCUCAUCGAGGACUACCGUUGGGUUUGCAUCCUUCAAACUGUAGGUUUAUAGUUCUCUUUACUUUUGUUUAUUCGGGAGGAGCCCACUUGUUAUUAUAAAUUAAAUUUCAUACUCUAGAUAUCUAUACUACUGUAUGUAGGAAUUUAUUUUGCUUUGACGCUGUAAAAAUUAUUUACGCAGUGUUUUAAAAAUAUUGUUUUAUAAGAAAAUCGAAUAUUUUACUUAAUAUUUCUUUUAUUUUCUUAUUAUGUCCAAUUAAUCAUAAUUUCGUUUUAAAUGAAGAUUUUAGACUUUUAAACUCAUUUUGAUUAUGAAUUAUGUGUUUUGUACUUGUAAAUUACAUUUUAGCCGGUUUCGAAUUUUUUGAGAAAAAUGACCAAAAUAUCCCUGUGAGACGAAAAUUAUUAUUUUAUUUGUUUUAAGUUGGAAACAGUUUAAAAUCUUUUAGAACGUGGUAUUUGGCAACAGUUACUCAUAGGGGGAAUGAGAAGUUGAUAUUAAAGCCUUGCGAGGUUCCGCUUGACAUUCGGGAUAAUAAGUGUCGAUCGGGGACGUCGAGGCGGUUGUCACGGGCUCGAGGGGAGUACCGGGUCGUGACACCUAUACUAUAAACAGAUUAAAAUAAAUAGUUGUAGAAUAUAAGGUAACAGUAUAAUGCAAAGAUUCUAUCAAUAUAAAAUAGUUAGUAAUUUCUAGUAUUAUAUGUUUUUUAUAUAUAAA